UCUCUGUUAGUAUAUCGGUUAGUACACGCGCCUGUCAUAUCAUUAAUGGCCGCGCGAAAGCGGGGUUCGACUCCCCGACAGAGAG